CAUCACACUAACUCCAACGAUCUUGACGGAACUAUCCAUUUGCUAUUAGGGAAAGUCUCUCAAACUUUCUCUGCACUUUCCGUGCACAGUAAUUUUGAACCAUCAUCACUCGACUACUUUGGCAAGCUAGACCAUCAGACCACCACAUCACCUUGUUCUUCCCUAUCUCUAUUAAGCUUAGAUCGUGAACAUCAAACCCAGACGUGGAGCUUGCACCAUACGGUGGCCAUUGCCACUAUUCAUCAUCUUCUUCGACAAGUUCUCGUCGAUUCCACCAAGGUUUUAAUGGCUAAGCUUUUGUGUCGAUGAGGAUUUUUGACAAACUGUUGUUGUGGGAAUACUAUAGACGGUCCUAAUGAAUCGUAUAGCUAUAAGACCCCACCCCGGAUUAAUCAUGUAAUUGGUGGCACCAUUAUGUUUGGCAAUCAAUAAUGAUGGGGUUGGAAAGAAAAGAAGGAUCUAUAUACUCAAGGCAAGGGAUCAAUUGAUCAAGCUCGAUGAAUAUAUUGAUAUAGUAACAUGGAAGUCGAAAGAAAUACCUAGACUAGAAUACACAAUUGCUAAUUAAUGUGCUUAUUUUUUAUAUAUUAGUGACAUAUCACAUAAUUUGCAAAUGUAGUCUAAAAAUUUGAUUUACCUAGUAUUACUCAUACUUAGACAAUUACUAAAAAUACCCUAAAAUCUGAAGAUGUUGAUUUAACAUGAUAAGAGACAUAAAUAUCAUGAUAAAUUAAUGACAACAACUAGGGGUGGGCACGGACCAGGCCGGCCCAAAAUUGGAGGGACCAGACUAGACCUGGUUGAAAAUAAAACGGGACGAGACGGAUCUUACUAUUUCAAAAUUUGAAACCGAACCUAACCCGGCCCAUUUAAAACUGGCCGAUUCCUACGGUCCAACUGGUACAAUUUGUUUUUGUUUUCGUUUUUUUAAUUUUCAGUAUCCCAGUUGAAUUUCCACUCGACGAUUUCGGAUUCGAGUUCGAAAUCGAAUUGUUGGAGAGAAAGAGGACGAUGCUGGAGACAAAUCAGAGAACCAGAAAGCGGGCAUGAGCGAGAAAUAGGGAGUGAAGUGGAGUGGCGAGUAAGAUUCGAACUCAAAUUGCUCCUCGUUUUUUGGGUUUCAAAAAAUGAGAAUCUGAAAUUGGGUUUUGAAAGCACUAUGAGUUUUUUUUUUUUUUUUGUUGGCUGGUGCAGAAGAAUUGAGUGAGAGAAAGAUUUGUGAUGGAGGGUGAUGAAAAUGGUGGAGAAAAAGAAGGUGGAUCCGCGUCCCUGUUUCCUCAUACAGUGGAUGGAAUGGAGAAAAAGAUGAUCUGAUGGUGGAUGACCUUCUUUGCAGCAAAGGAAGAUUAAAUAAAUGAAGAAUCAAAACUAAAUAAAGAAAGAAAACAAAGGUAGUACUAGUGUACUGCAAUAAACAAAUGUCGUACUAGGAAGAGGAUCCUUUCCGGAUUCGUCUUGUGGGAAUCCUCCUAAUGGUUAAUCGUACAUCAUGUGAUCAAUUUACUUCAUGUACUAUUUAUGUUUAAUUUGAAAUAAAAAAAAAUUCAAAUAAUUU